AGAGUUUGAUCAUGGCUCAGGAUGAACGCUGGCGGCGUGCCUAACACAUGCAAGUCGAACGAAGCGAUUUGGAGGAAGUUUCCGGAUGGAAUCUGAAUUGACUGAGUGGCGGACGGGUGAGUAACGCGUGGGUAACCUGCCUCACACUGGGGGACAACAGCUGGAAACGGCUGCUAAUACCGCAUAAGGCCACAGCACCGCAUGGUGCAGGGGUAAAAACUCCGGUGGUGUGAGAUGGGCCCGCGUCUGAUUAGUUAGUUGGCGGGGUAACGGCCCACCAAGACGACGAUCAGUAGCCGACCUGAGAGGGUGACCGG
rnacentral:rRNA from 1 species